CAGAUGAGACGCCUCGUCCACCUGCAGACCCUCAUCCUGAACAACAAUCCAUCUGAAUGCACGCCCAGCUACGCCAGCUGCCAGCCAUGGUGGCCCUCCAGACUCUCCACCUGAGGAGCACCCAGAGAACCCAGAGCAACAUGCCUACCAGUCUGGAGGGACUGGUACACCUGGCAGACGUGGACCUGUCCUUCAACGACCUGAGUCGGGUUCCUGAGUGUCUCUAUACGCUGAGCAGUCUGAAGCGUCUCAACCUCUCCUCCAAUCAGAUCUCAGAGCUCUCCCUCUGCAUCGACCAAUGGACUCAGCUAGAGACACUCAACCUCAGCAGGAACCAACUCACAUCACUGCCUGUAAGAACAUCUCUGUCUCUCUGUCUGUCUGUCUCUC